rnacentral:rRNA from 1 species
GUGGGGAAUAUUGCACAAUGGAGGAAACUCUGAUGCAGCGACGCCGCGUGAACGAUGAAGGCCUUCGGGUCGUAAAGUUCUGUCCUUGGGGACGAUAAUGACGGUACCCAAGGAGGAAGCCCCGGCUAACUACGUGCCAGCAGCCGCGGUAAUACGUAGGGGGCGAGCGUUGUCCGGAAUUAUUGGGCGUAAAGGGUUCGUAGGCGGUUAUUUAAGUCAGGUGUGAAAGGCAUAGGCUCAACCUGUGUAAGCACUUGAAACUGAAUGACUUGAGUUAAGGAGAGGAAAGUGGAAUUCCUAGUGUAGCGGUGAAAUGCGUAGAUAUUAGGAGGAAUACCAGUGGCGAAGGCGACUUUCUGGACUUAUACUGACGCUGAGGAACGAAAGCGUGGGGAGCAAACAGGAUUAGAAACCCUAGUAGUCC